rnacentral:misc_RNA from 1 species
GAAGUGCGAUAAGCAAUGCGAAUUGCAGAAUUCCGCGAAUCAUCAGAUCUUUGAACGCAAAUGGCGCUGGAGGGAUAUCCUUCCAGCAUGUCUGUUUCAGUGUCUGAGAGGUUUCACAUAAAUCUUAAUGUGAUUGAUGGACGAUUUGUUUGAUUUAUUUCAAGCUUCUCGCUCAUCUCUCAUGAAAGAUGCGUGAGUGGAUCUUUCGGUCCAAUGAAGUGGUCACAUCACUCGUAUGUGAUUUCAUUGGAAAAUCACCGAAUUAUCCGUACACUCACAGUACCUACAAACAAAAAAUCUCCAUACCCUGCAUCUGAAAUAGGCAAGAUCACCCGCUGAACUUAA